ensembl:lincRNA
UUUGGCUGACAGUGCAGGAACCUAGAAAAGAGGCCUGUAUUUGAGCAGGAGUUCCAGGUGUGGUGUGUACUGUGUACCGGCGUAUCAGAAUGAGCCAGAUUUCACAUGUUUAUUGCUGAGCCAUUUCUGGUAGAUUUCAUAGAGACCCAGCCUUUUUCUGCUCCCAUUUGGAAGUGACGGUCCCCACAUUUCCCACCCUCUGAAACUUCUUCAUUGUUAAGCGGAAUCUUCUCUGAGCUCAGAAGUAAAAUCGAUUGGAUUUGAUUAAUGAAAUGUGUGUUUGCUGCGUUUUCUGGCUGUAGAGAUUUACUUCCCAUGGUUUCUUCUCAGAGCUGAACAAAUGGCCAGUGUUCAGAAUGCCCAGAGAGACAAUGCUGGGGACAGGGCAGAUUUCUGGAGAAUGCGUGGCCAGAGGUCUGGGGUGAAGAAGAACCUGAGGAAAAGUCGGGAAGACCUUACAGCCGUUGUGUCUGUCAGCACCAAAUUCCCGGCUUAUGAGAGGGUUUUGCUGCGAGAAGCUGGUUUCAAGAGACCUGUGGUCUUAUUCGGCCCCAUAGCUGAUAUAGCAAUGGAAAAAUUGGCAAAUGAGUUACCUGACUGGUUUCAAACUGCUAAAACGGAACCAAAAGAUGCAGGAUCUGAGAAAUCCACCGGAGUGGUCCGGUUAAAUACCGUGAGGCAAAUUAUUGAACAGGUGAGAAAAUUCAUCCACAGACCAUGUUCUCAGAAAUAAUUAGAUCAUGGUUUGCUGCAGUCACUUUUAGAAUAGUAUCUGUACCUUAAUCAUUAAAUGUUAAUAAUAAAAAAUUGGCCAGGUGCAGUGGCUCACACCUGUAAUCUCAGCCCUUUGAGAGGCUGAAGCGGGUAGAUCACCUAAGGUCAGGAGUUAGAGACCAGCCUGGCCAACAUGGUGAAACCCUGUCUCUACUAAAAUUAUAAUUAGCCGGGCGUGGUGGCAGGUGCCUGUAGUCCCAGCUACUCAGGAGGCUGAGGCAGGAGAAUCGCUUGAACCCAGGAGGCAGAGGUUGCAGUGAGCCAAAGAUCACGCCAUUGCACUCCAGCCUGGGCGACAGAGGGAGACUCCAUCAAAAAAAAAAAAAAAAAAAAGAUGUAGCACUAUGAUUUUAAAAUGUCUUGUUCUUUGUGCUGCAUUUCAAUUUUACUUGCUUUCUAACUAUAAGGCUGAGGCUCUUUAAUUUGAUAAAUACCUUUCAAUUUUAUAAACACAUGUUAAACACUUUUAGGUGAUAGAAGCUAUAGGAAAAGGGUGGAAUUGGUCAGAGUCUUUAUUUGCACGCUUUUAUUUGAACCGUUUAAAAUUAGCGUGAAUGCUGGGCCAGCAUACUCAUUUGCCACAGACCCCAACACUCCCUAUUGCAUUAUAGUUAUCUGUUUCAUACUUGUGUAUUACCUUCUUGGCCACCUCUGUGAGAGACUCACAGAAGGGACAUGGAUGGAAACAACCACAAGAAAUUCUAAUCUGAUCUGGUGACAGAUCCUUGCUUCAAUGGCUUAUCUCUAAGGUGCAGCUGGCAGUGUGGGGAGGCCAGAAGGUAUAGUGCUCAGGCCCAUAGCAAGGUGCUGGGUGGGAGGGCUUGAAUAGUGACAUUAAGGACUCAUUUACGUGUUGGCUUUGCUCUGGUCAGGCCCUGAUGAAAACAAACAAAAGGCUCAGUGGCACCUUACUAUAAACUUCUCUGUUUUUUCUUUUUUUUCUCUCUUUCUGUUUUUCCUUCCUAAUAGGUGAACACACAGGAUUUCAGAGGACUAGUGCGGGAAGAUGCUGUUCUCUACCUGUUAGAAAUCCCUAAAGGUGAAAUGGUGACCAUUUUAGCUCAGAGCCGAGCCGAUGGUGAGCAAGUUUGGUCAUUUAGUUUUGUUGGGGUUGGGGGUGGGGAGUGGGAAGGAUGAGAGAGGUGUCUUGGUACCAGAAUAGGCAAAUCUGGGUAAUAAAAAAUUGAGAUGGAUCUCAACACCCAAUCCUUGGGUCCUAGGUGUGUGAAGAAAAUCUGGGUGCCAUUUAACUUUUCCAUAAAAAUGUUUUCUAUGCAUACACUGAAAUAAUUUUACUAGUUGUGUCAUUUUGGAAUAAAAGUGCCUUCCUGAACAGUGAUGCAGCCUUACGUUCUGCCUGGAGUUAUUAGUGAGUUUACAUAUGACAGGUGCAAAGGCCAUGGCUGCUGGCUGGUGCCCCUGUUGCCCCCAGCCAGUCUGACAAGUUGUUUCGCCUUUCCAGGCCUUGUUCUCAUCUGUGAAGUGAGGGUUGAGAGUAUCUUCCUUGUCUGCUUCAGAGUUUGAUUGGCGAGUGUGUUAAUCAAGUUCUUCAGAGAAACAGAACCGAUAGGAGAUAUUGGAAUCAAUAGGAGAGAAAGAGAUUUAUUGUAAAGAAUUGGCUCACAUAAUUAUGGGGACUGGCAAGUGCCAAGAUCUGCAGUGAAAAUGGUCAAGGUAGAGACUCAGGAGAGCCAGUGAUUUAGUUCUAGUCUCAGUCUGAAGGGCUGAGAACCCGGAGAGCCAAUGGUGUAGUUCCAGU